AGAAGAAGAAGAGAGCAGAUGGUUGUUGCUGCUCCGGGAGACUUUAAGCUCUAAAUCCAGCGAAAACUGAUAUUCAGAGAGAAGCCGUGUGUGUGAGAUUGACGUUUUGGAACAUUGUCAUCUGGAAUUUUCCUGUUCUCCAGAUGCACAUUGUAUGCGAGUUCCUUGGCCAGGUUUUUUUUUUGUUUUUGUUUUUUUUGUUUUUCUUUGAUGUGUUUUAUUUCCAUGUGAAUGCUGGAACAUCCGUCUGAGUGCGAUCCAUCCUGUGGUAUUCGAGUGAACUGCAAGUCAAUCCUGGAAUGUGAACCGUCUCAACUCCUCUUUGGAUGUCUUACAGUGGAGUUGGACUGGCGAGCCACCCAAGAACUGUCACGAACCCCUUUCCUCUGCCCCAUCUCCGCUUCCUCGAGCACGCACCCAUACACUCCGCGAGCGUGCUCGCUUCCCGCUCCCUCGCUCCGCCCCCUUGAGCGCGUACGCUCUUUUUCCUCCCUCGAGCACUCACGCUCCUUAUGCUAUUGCGAGCUCUGCUCGUAAGCUAUCUCCCCCCCCUCUGGCGCACUCGCUUCCCCCAGAACAUUAUGACCACCUACACUCACGCGCAUCCUAUCCCCACACAUUAGAUUCACCUGUACUCGUCUCGUCACCUUCAUUGUUCACACCUGCACCUUCCCCUAUAAAUACCCAGCACUUCCGUUUCACGGGUGUUGGUUAUUGUAUGUAUUUAGAUUCCCGUGUUUAUGCCCCCGCUAGUCUCGUCUAGUUUUGCCCCUGCUAGUCUCGUCUAGUUUUGACCUCCCCACUGUUUGAUUACCUGUUUAGCUUGCCAACUCUCUCGUUCCCCUGUCUUUGUUCCCGCUAGUCUCGUCUUGUCCUUCGCCCUAGUUGUUAACUGUUUUCCCCACUUAUCGUUCACCUCCCUCAUUAGAUC